rnacentral:misc_RNA from 1 species
AAAAUAAUCCUACCCUUUGUGAAUUUUGUUUGUUUGAAUAAUUUUUUUUUUUAAAAAAUUAUUGGAGUCUUUCCCUUUAGAGUUUGCUUUUGAGUUUGUAAAAGAAUUCGAAAACAUCUAAAGGGGAUGGUCAAUAAUUUUUUUUGAAAAAAGACAUUUUUUAAAAUUAAACUUUUUGUAUUCAUUUGUCUAAAAAUUAUUUUUAUAAUAUAAAACAACUUUUGACAAUGGAUCUCUUGGUUCUCGCAACGAUGAAGAACGCAGCAAAAUGCGAUAAGUAGUGUGAAUUGCAAAUACGUGAACCAUCGAAUCUUUGAACGCAUAUUGCACUUUUUUAGUUUACUAAAAAGUAUGUCUGUUUGAGUAUCAGUAAAUUAUUCUCAUAAAAAUCAUUGUGUAUUUUUAUGGUUAUGAGUGUUUUACAACGAUACAAGUUGUUUCACUUUAAAUUUUUUUUUAAUAUUGAAUUUUUCUAAUUUUAAUAAUUAAAAUUGGAUAAAAUUUUCCCGUCAAAAGGAAUAACCUAAACAAUUUUAAAUGAUUAAUUUUAGCAAAAUUUUCGAAAAAAGGAAAUUUUUAUUAAAAUAACUUGAUCUCAAAUCAGAUAAGAGUACCCGCUGAACUUAAGCAUAUCAAUAAGCGGAGGAAAGAAACUAACAAGGAUUCCUUAGUAACGGCGAGUGAAGCGGGAAGAGCUCAAAUUUGAAAUCUUCAAGGUUUUACCUUGACGAAUUGUAGUUUAAAGAAGUGUUUUCUGCUGAAGUUUUGGUAAAAGUUCUUUGGAAUAGGACAUCAUAGAGGGUGAGAAUCCCGUAUUUGACCAUUAUUUUCAGCUUUGUGAUAAUAACACUUUCAAAGAGUCGGAUUGUUUGGGAAUGCAGUCCAAAAUGGGUGGUAGAUUUCAUCUAAAGCUAAAUAUUGGCGAGAGACCGAUAGCGAACAAGUACGUGAGGGAAAGAUGAAAAGAACUUUGAAAAGAGAGUUAAACAGUACGUGAAAUUGUCAAAAGGGAAGCGUUUGACACCAGUGUUGUUUCCUCGAAAAUCAAUUAAAAAUGGCUCGAUUUGUAUUGCUGAGACCUUAAAAGCUCACUGUACAUUUUUCGUGUCUUUUUUAAUGCACUUUUCGUUUAACAAGUCAACAUCAGUUUCUUUUGUUGUAAAAGGGUCAUUGGAAGGUGGCUUUCUUUUCGGAGAAAGUGUUUAUAGCCUUUGGCCUCUGCAAUCGGAGAGACUGAGGUCUGCAGCGUAGACUCUUCGGGUUAGAUACAUUUGUGCUAAGUUAUAGCUUUUUAUAGACAACUUGUUGACUAUAAUUAGUCUUGUAGCUUACUCGCCUAUGCUAUUUUA